rnacentral:rRNA from 1 species
AUUGAACGCUGGCGGCAGGCCUAACACAUGCAAGUCGAGCGUGCGGCGGGCGGGUGAGUAAUGUACGGGGACUGCUGGACAGAGGGGGAUAACUACUGGAAACGGUGACUACUACCGCCUACGGUCGGAUAUCCCAUAUGGGAUUAGCUAGUAGGUAAGGUAAUGGUUUACCUAGGCGACGAUCCCUAGCUGGUCUGAGAGGAUGAUCAGCCACACGGGGACUGAGACACGGCCCAGACUCCUACGGAGGCAGAAGUGGGGAAUAGUGCACAAUGGGCGCAAGCCGGAUGCAGCCAUGCCGCGUGUAUGAAGAAGGCCCUAGGGUUGUAAAGUACUUUCAGUCGGGAGGCGUUACCGACAGAAGAAGCACCGGCUAACUCCGUGCCAGCAGCCGCGGUAAUAC